CCUACGGGAGGCAGCAGUAGGGAAUUUUCGGCAAUGGGGGGAACCCUGACCGAGCAACGCCGCGUGAACGAAGAAGUUAUUCGUAAUGUAAAGUUCUUUUAACAGGGAAGAAAGAGAAAUUUGACGGUACCUGAUGAAUAAGCUCCGGCUAACUACGUGCCAGCAGCCGCGGUAAUACGUAGGGAGCGAGCGUUAUCCGGAAUUAUUGGGCGUAAAGGGUGCGUAGAUGGCAUAGUAAGUCUUUUGUAAAAAUGCUGGGCUCAACCCAGUAGGGCAAAAGAUACUGCAAAGCUAGAGUAUGACAGAGGCAAGUGGAACUACAUGUGUAGCGGUAAAAUGCGUAGAUAUAUGUAAGAACACCAGUGGCGAAGGCGGCUUGCUGGGUCGAUACUGACAUUGAGGCACGAAAGCGUGGGGAGCAAACAGGAUUAGAUACCCGAGUAGUC
rnacentral:rRNA from 1 species